rnacentral:rRNA from 1 species
GACGAACGCUGGCGGCGUGCUUAACACAUGCAAGUCGAACGGAAAGGCCUGCUUUCCCUUGUGGAUUGCGGGUACUCGCGUGGCGAACGGGUGAGUAACACGUGAGUGAUCUGCCCCCAACUUGGGUAUAAGCCUGGGAAACUGGGUCUAAUUCCCGAUAGGACUGCAGGGUGGUGCCUGUGGUGGAAAACGAUUUUCUAGUGGUUGGGGAUGAGCUCGCGGCCUAUCAGCUUGUUGGUUGGGUAAUGGCCUACCAAGGCGGCGACGGGUAGGCGGCCAGGGAGAGCGGGCGGGCACGGUGGAACUGCGAUACGGGGCAGACGCCUACGCCAGGAAGCAGUGGGGAAGAAUGCGCGGUGGAUGUAGGCCUGAUGGAGCGAGGCUGAGGGAGCGAUGCCGGGUUUGGGAUUGUAGCCUUCUUGCGGCAGAGCGGUAGCGCCCUGGUUGAAGGGGUGGUGACGGUAGUGGUAGAAGAAGCACCGGCUAACUACGUG